rnacentral:rRNA from 1 species
UACGUAGGUGGCAAGCGUUGUCCGGAAUUACUGGGCGUAAAGGGCGUGUAGGCGGCAUCUUAAGUCAGAUGUGAAAACCCGGGGCUUAACUUCGGGAGUGCAUUUGAAACUGGGAAGCUAGAGUGUCGGAGAGGAAAGCGGAAUUCCUAGUGUAGCGGUGAAAUGCGUAGAUAUUAGGAGGAACACCAGUGGCGAAGGCGGCUUUCUGGACGAUAACUGACGCUGAGGCGCGAAAGCGUGGGGAGCAAACAGG